AUUCACCCUAAACCCAAAAUCCAAAACCCAAAACCAAACUGCCCGUCCUAUUUUCUCUUACAACCGCAAAGCCAAAUACCAAGCUCUACACAGACAUGGACAAGACAAUGUCCCAUCUUUGGAAUGCCUGAAAUUGGAUUCCUAGUCGGAGGUGCUUGAUAAGGAUGGCAGCGGAAAGGAUCUUUUCUCGCCAGCUAUGGUCCCCCUCAACUGCGAUACGCCAAUAAUCGGUACAUAUGCUUUUCAGUUUUCUUUUAAAUUAAUUACCAUUUUAUGCCACAACUUUUGUGUAUCAAAAAUUAUCUUUUUACCUUAUGUCCUUGAUUUUUGUUUUUAGGGUUUGUGAGGAAGAUUAUAUGAAAUUUGCUUGUACUUUUUGGUUUGGAAAAAAGAAAGUGUUGUUUUUAUCUUAUUUUUGUUGGGGUAAUUAGAUGGUAUAUAUUAUGUCAAAAUUUUGAAUCAGUUUUUGAAGAUGAUUUUUUCCAGUCAAGUUAUUUUGGUAUGUGUAUGAUGGAUAGCAGAUAUUUAAUAAUAUAGUUAUUUGUUGAUGGGAUCAUAGAUGCCAUUCCUACUAAUUUUUUGACAUCAUCACCCUUCCCCCUCCCUUUUAACAACGUAAUUGCUUACAAACAAAUAGUAUGGCCGAAGAACCAGAGACUAUAGAACCAACGGAAGAAGAACUUAUUGCUUAUUUUUAUGAGGGCUCUAACCUCCGCCUUCCUAAUUCUAUUGGUACGCUCUCUAUUUUAGAGUAAGAAAGAAAAAAAUAUGUAUGCCGGUUCUCUAUUUUAUGACAUAAUAUCUAUGUAUGUGUUGUUAUUCUAUGUCAUGUUGAAAGCAACUCGUAUGUUAAAAGAUAAUUUAUCCUACCAAGUUAUUUUGGUGUUUACAUGAUGUAGAAUUGAUAUUUAAUAAUAUAGUUAUUUGUUGAUGGGAUCAUGGAUGUCAUUCCUUCUAACUUCUUUGACAUCAUCACCUAUUUUUUUUCCUUUUAUAUUUAACAAUGUAAUUGUAUGGAAACAGGGAGCAAGACUGAAGAAUUAGAUGAUGAAGAAUCAGAUGAUGAAGAAUCAGAGUUUUGAAAAUCAAAGAUUGAAGAAUCAGAGGAUGAAAAAUCAGAGGAUGGAGAAAGUUAUGGUAAGCUUUUGAUUUUAUGGACAAAAAAAGAAAAAAAUGGUCAUGCAGCUUCUCUAUUUACGUAUAUAUAUAUAUAUAUUCUUUCUUUUUUUCUUGUAUGACAUAAUAUCUAUGUAUUUGUUGUUAUUCAAUGUAUUGUGCCCACAAUACUAAUUUUUGGGUUUUAUCAUCUUCAUUCAUUCAUGGUCUUUUAAAAAAAUGAUUAUUUUUAUUGCUUUUGUUGUAUUUAACAAUGGAUUUACAAAUUGCACACAGGUGAAUGUAAGUAUUGUUUAAAGGUGGAUAAGCACCCUACAUACCUAUGCCCUUAUAAGUGUCGAGUCCCAAAGAACGCAGUUGUUGGCGACAGUUGUGUGGUUGAAUGUCUUGUAUGUGGCUGCCUCUUUAGAGACUCGUGUUGUGCUGGUUGUGGCCUAAGCAUAGGACAUGCACUUCUCAAGGAUUGUACAACUUGUGGGAAGCAAGAAGAACACUUGAAUUAUGAGUGCCCGAAACGUGAGGAGAAACAUAAGGAUUGUAGUUUUACUUAUGACCCUUUCACUGGUUCUUUUUCUGUCGAGAUUUGCCCUUUGAAGUAGAAGAAAAUGAAGAGUUAGUUGUACUCUAGAGUUAAAGCAAAAGAGCAAGGAGUCUUAUUUUCCAUAAAUGCUAUGCAUCCUAUCAUUUUGAUGUCUACAUCGUGUAUUGUUUUUAUCUCAAAUGAAUUGCAAUUUGCAGCACAUGGUAUAUUAUAUUCUUAUGCUUGAAGAUGUGAGAAUCCAUCUAUUUAUAAAAUGUCUAAAGUAAA
rnacentral:lncRNA from 1 species